UACGGAGGGUGCAAGCGUUAUCCGGAUUCACUGGGUUUAAAGGGUGCGUAGGUGGCUUUGUAAGUCAGUGGUGAAAGCCUGGAGCUCAACUCCAGAACUGCCAUUGAUACUGCUUAGCUUGAAUCACGUCGAGGUGGAUGGAAUAUUACAUGUAGCGGUGAAAUGCUUAGAUAUGUAAUAGAACACCGAUUGCGAAGGCAGUUCACUAGGCGUGUAUUGACACUGAGGCACGAAAAGCGUGGGGGAUCAAACAGG
rnacentral:rRNA from 1 species